GCCAGGCACAGUGGCUUAUGCCUGUAGUCCCAGCUACUCAGGAGGCUGAGGCUAGAGGAUCGCUUGAGCACAGGAGUUCUGGGCUGUAGUGCACUAUGCCAAUAGGGUGUCCGCACUAAGUUCAGCAUCAAUAUGGUGACCUCCUAGGAGCGGGGGACCACCAGGUUGCCUAAGGAGGGAUGAACUAGACCAGGUCGGAAACCGAGCAGGUCAAAACUCCCAUGCUGAUCAGUAGUGAGAUCGUGCCUAUGAAUAGCCACUGCACUCCAGCCUGGGCAACAUAGUGAGAUCCUGUCUCU
rnacentral:SRP_RNA from 1 species